rnacentral:rRNA from 1 species
UGGAUGAGUGGCGAACGGGUGAGUAACACGUGAGUAACCUGCCCUCUUCUUUGGGAUAACGCCCGGAAACGGGUGCUAAUACUGGAUAUUCACUGAUCUUCGCAUGGGGGUUGGUGGAAAGGUUUUUUCUGGUGGGGGGUGGGCUCGCGGCCUAUCAGCUUGUUGGUGGGGUGAUGGCCUACCAAGGCUUUGACGGGUAGCCGGCCUGAGAGGGUGACCGGUCACAUUGGGACUGAGAUACGGCCCAG